GACAAGAAUGGGAGCAGGUAGACCCUCCCAGUCCAGGCAAAUAUUACCAGUGGCUAAGAGUAAGGUAGUAUCAGUGAAGAAGUGAUCCUAUUAUUGAUAGAUCUUAAAGCAGAGUAGACAAGACUUGCUGAUUAAUUAAAUGUUACGCGUGAGAGAAAUAUAAAAGUUAAGGAUGAAACCAAAGUUUUUAACCUAAACAACUUGGAGGAUGGAGGGGGAAACAAAGGAACUAGUUGCAAGCUGCCAUUUAGCAAGCUGCCAUGAAGAUAGCCAUCUCCAUCUGAUUCAUUUGGGGCUACAAUUCAUGUAUUAAGGUUAAAUCCAUAUCUUUUAUCCACCUUGGGUGAAGAACAUGAAAGAUCCUAUACAACUGGUCUAACACCUGUGUGUUCUCUCUCCUAAAAGUUAAUACCCAAUUCAGCUUGGUGCAGGUUUUAAAAUUUAAAUAAAAAAAUAAAGUUAAUAUUCAAGUUAAA
rnacentral:lncRNA from 10 species